rnacentral:rRNA from 1 species
ACGGGAGGCAGCAGUCGGGAAUAUUGCGCAAUGGAGGAAACUCUGACGCAGUGACGCCGCGUAUAGGAAGAAGGUUUUAGGAUUGUAAACUAUUUUAGACAGGGAAGAAAAAGGACUGUACCUGUAGAAUAAGCUCCGGCUAACUACGUGCCAGCAGCCGCGGUGAUACGUAGGGAGCAAGCGUUAUCCGGAAUUAUUGGGUGUAAAGGGUGCGUAGACGGGAAUUUAAGUUGGUUGUGAAAUCCCUCGGCUUAACUGAGGAACUGCAACCAAAACUGAAUUUCUUGAGUGCAGGAGAGGAAAGCGGAAUUCCUAGUGUAGCGGUGAAAUGCGUAGAUAUUAGGAGGAACACCAGUGGCGAAGGCGGCUUUCUGGACUGUAACUGACGUUGAGGCACGAAAGUGUGGGGAGCAAACAGGAUUAGAUACCCUGGUA